rfam:Oryza sativa (indica cultivar-group) chromosome 1, whole genome shotgun sequence.
AAUAAAUGCAGUUUUGUACUAUUCAUGUUCAACAUACGGUUCGUCUUAUUUGAAAUUUUUUUAUGAUCAGUAUUUUUAUUGCUAUUAGAUGAUAAAACAUGAAUAGUACUUUAUGUGUGACUAAAUAUUUUCAAUAUUUUCACAAAUUUUUCAAAUAAGACGGACGGUCAAACGUUGGGCACGGAUAUCCACGGCUGCACUUAUU